AGAUGACAAAGCUACAGAAUACGAUAUAAUUCCCAUCAAGCAAGAAGAUAUUGUUGAUUCCAAUGGUGCUGGUGAUUCUUUUGUUGGAGGUUUCUUGUCUGAGCUUGUGCAAGGCAAAGAUCUGGAGUCUUGUAUGAAGAAAGGACAUGAAGUUGCCAACAAAUGUUUGCAAAACAUCGGAUGUACAUUCAGAAACACACCACUUUAAUGCUGGCCCAUUCAGCAAUGAUGUCAUUUAGGAUCAUGCCGUUUGAGUAUUAUCAUUCAGAUACAUUGACUCUAUUGGCUUAGUUUUACGGGAUUAUCAUUGACUCUAUUAGCUUAGUUUUAUGGGAUUAUCAUUGACUCUGUUAGCUUAGUUUUAUGGGAUUAUCAUUGGUAGCACUUUUGUCUCUAUCAGUUUUUACACUUAUUUUGUGUGCAAUGUUAUUACAAUUUGUAGAAAUUAUUCAGAUUAAAUUGAUUGUAAAUCAUUAACAUUUUUAAAUGUUAAAUUGUAUAAAAAAAAUUUAAGAUUCCAGACUGUCAGUUUAGAAAAAUAUUGUUACUGGUAUUGCAGUUGUAUAUAAAAAAAAUGAUACAUAGACUAUGGGAACAAGGGAGAUUGACUAAGUAUACUCUUAGUUUUAUGAUAUUUCUAAACUAGUGGUUUCCUUUUAAAGCCAUUUUUUAAAAUAAAACUAGAGUCACAUAUUAUUUUACUGUUGUUAAUUGGUUUUAGUUCAGAGAACUUUUACAAGGUGCUAUCACUGAUGUUGGUUUGAGAACCACUGAUAUCUAGAAACUUGUUCUCUGUUAAUUUCAUUUGUUGCCAAAUGUUCAAACAUACAAAAAUGCCUUUCCAUGUAUCAAGAAUGUUUAUAAACAAUUCAAAUAUCA
rnacentral:sRNA from 1 species